GACGAACGCUGGCGGCGUGCUUAACACAUGCAAGUCGAACGGUGAAGGUGGAGCUUGCUCCGCCGGAUCAGUGGCGAACGGGUGAGUAACACGUGGGCAACCUGCCCCUCACUUCGGGAUAACUCCGGGAAACCGGGGCUAAUACCGGAUACGACCUCCUUGGGUAUCCUUGGAGGUGGAAAGUUUUUCGGUGAGGGAUGGGCCCGCGGCCUAUCAGCUUGUUGGUGGGGUAGUGGCUCACCAAGGCGACGACGGGUAGCCGGCCUGAGAGGGCGACCGGCCACACUGGGACUGAGACACGGCCCAGACUCCUACGGGAGGCAGCAGGGGGGAAUAUUGCGCAAUGGGCGAAAGCCUGACGCAGCAACGCCGCGUGCGGGAUGAAGGCCUUCGGGUUGUAAACCGCUUUCAGCAGGGAAGAAGCCGCAAGGUGACGGUACCUGCAGAAGAAGCACCGGCUAACUACGUGCCAGCCGCCGCAGUAA
rnacentral:rRNA from 1 species